rnacentral:rRNA from 1 species
GACUGCCUACGGGACGCAGCAGUGGGGGAUAUUGCACAAUGGGGGGAACCUUGAUGCAGCGACGCCGCGUGGGUGAAGGAGCGUUUCGGCGCGUAAAGCCCUAUCGGCAGGGAAGAAGGAGGACGGUACCUGACUAAGAAGCCCCGGCUAACUACGUGCCAGCAGCCGCGGUAAUACGUAGGUGGCAAGCGUUAUCCGGAUUUACUGGGUGUAAAGGGCGUGUAGGCGGGAAAGGCAGUCAGAUGUGAAAACCACGG